rnacentral:rRNA from 1 species
UACGUAGGGUGCAAGCGUUGCCCGGAUUUAUUGGGCGUAAAGGGCGCGUAGGCGGCUCUGCACGUCCGUUGUGAAAUCGUCCGGCUCAACUGGGCGGGGUCAGCGGAUACGGCAGAGCUUGAGCAAGCUAGGGGGCAAUGGAAUUCCCGGUGUAGUGGUGGAAUGCGCAGAUAUCAGGAGGAACACCAAUGGCGAAGGCAGAUCUCUGGGCCGUAACUGACGCUGAGGAGCGAAAGCAUGGGGAGCGAACAGG